UACGAGGGGGGCAAAUGUUGUUCGGAAUCACUGGGCGUAAAGGGAGCGUAGGCGGGUUUCUAAGUCAGGUGUUUAAUCCCGGGGCCCAACCCCGGACAGGCACUUGAAACUGGAAAUCUUGAAUAGUGGAGAGGUCAGUGGAAUUGGGGGUGUAGCGGUGGAAUGCGGUAGAGAUCCCCAAGAACACCAGUUGCGAAGGCGGCUGACUGGACACAUAUUGACGCUGAGGCUCGAAAGCAUGGGGAGCAAACAGG
rnacentral:rRNA from 1 species